GUAAAUUGAGCUAAUGUCUCCAGAAUGGUCCUAUACAAUGGAUCAAUCUCGGUUGUCAAAUAUUUCAGGGACAACAUACUGGAUGGCACUGUUUUUUUCACCCUCCUUUUCGGAAGCGAGCUGUUCGAGGACUACAUUGGUCAUCUUGCAAUGGCAACAAUGGCCUCCACUGAGAUGACAACCGACAACGACAACCCCUAAAAGCUUCAGGACAGGCUCAAGAAUGUACAAAGGGAAAGAGAGGAAAAGCUAGCUAGAUUCCUCAAGGAAUUCCUCUCCCAAUAUGUUCGUGGUGACAAAGAAGGAUUCGCUAAUCGUGUGGAAGCUGAGGCGAAGAGGCUCUUCAGCACUUGUCAAUCUUCUGAUCCUAUUAAACCAUUUGUACUUUUAUGUUGUCUAGCAUUCAACUCACUGUGAAAAAAUGUCCAUUUGCAGCAUCUGGACUGGAUAUUCUUCGCACCAUCGGAUAUAUGUAUUCUUGACAUGCAGCAAAGGAGCUAACAUCAAAUGGUGUGUGGACAGGAAAGAAACAUUAACAACAGCAAAAGAAGCCACAUUCAGAAUGUAGUUUAUGUAAAAGAUGAAUUGUUUGUAGAUAAAAAUCCCAUCAUACAAAAACUAAGUAAUAUGAAAGCUCCCUUGAUAACACGCUACAUUGGUUAAGCUAGAUCCCACAAUGCAUAUACUACCAGCGUAUAUAAGAGGUGGCCCUGAAAAUUUGACAACUUUGUAGUUCUGAAUGGACAAGCAUGAUUUGCGCUUUCUGAUCCAAAAAGCUUCGCACCAUCGGAUAUGUGUAUUCUUGACAUGCAGCAAAGGAGCUUGGCAAGAAGGCCAUGUACCUAGGAGUGCCAUUCGUGGCUGAGUGGGUCAGGAACAAGGGGCACCUAUGGAAGUCACAGAUCACAGCAGCAAAAGGUGAGCAACUUUUUUUCCCGUAGUGGAUUGUGCUCUGCUGAUUAAAAUUGCUAACUGAUGAGAGCAAAAGGAGAAAUGCAGGAGCCCUGCAACUGUUGCAAUUGCAAGAGGACGCCUGCCGGCAGAGUAACAAGGAUGGCAAUGCCACGGAGUAGGAUGUUGACUUUCAGAUGAGGAUGAACAAGGAUCUAAUGAUGAGCUCACUGUGGAAGCUGAAGGUUGUGGAAAUUGAAAUGACUCUCCUGCAUGUUUGUGAAAUAGUAUGUAUCUUGAGGUAUCUGAUUACAUACGGUAUGAUAAGUACUAAGUAGUGCCUACAACUGUCUGGACUAUGAGUACUUUUCUAUUCUAGAUUCAUCUGUUGAAACUGUCUGCACACCAAGCUUAUUUUAUUUAAUGGGGUUUUUAUUUAGGUGCUUUACGAAAACAAUGUCAAGAAAGAGGAUCUAAAGGCCCGAGCAACGGCCUUGAAAAUUGUCGGGAAAAUAUUUCAGGGAUAAGGAGGCAUUACCUGGGCCAGAGCCAGGGCCGUCAGGGCCAUCAAAACGAACAGUUCUUGAUAAUGACAGCAGUUUAGAUGACAGUUCAAAUGAUGACAUAGCUCGGACGGUGCCAUAUCAAACUCCUGCAUUUACUCUGUGGAGAACCAAAGUUGUCCUCGCAUGCUCUUAGAAUUUGCCAAUCCGCUUUGUAAGGAUAUGUACAUUACACAGUAACUAUUUAAUAGUUGGUACCAAUGGUAAGCAGAGCUUAUCCCAUC